AGCAGUAGCCGCGGUAAUACGAAGGGUGCAAGCGUUACUCGGAAUUACUGGGCGUAAAGCGUGCGUAGGUGGUGGUUUAAGUCCGUUGUGAAAGCCCUGGGCUCAACCUGGGAAUUGCAGUGGAUACUGGGUCACUAGAGUGUGGUAGAGGAUAGUGGAAUUUCCGGUGUAGCAGUGAAAUGCGUAGAGAUCGGAAGGAACAUCUGUGGCGAAGGCGGCUUACUGGCUCAUUCUAGACGCUGAGGUGCGAAAGCGUGGGGAGCAAACAGGAUUAGAUACCCGUGUAGUCCUGUCUCUUAUACA
rnacentral:rRNA from 1 species